AGCGCCAGGAGCAGCAGCGGCGCCGCCGCCAUCGCCGGAUCCGCGGGGGAAACUGAGGCCCGGGCGGCGGGGGACGGGGACUUUCCGGGCCUGGAGCUACCGCAGGGGGAUGACUGCCACUGCGCCCGUGAUGUCGCCAAGCCCCGCCCACCCCGGGCCCCGCCCCGCGAUUGAUUGACAGGCCGACACCGAGGGUUGGGGUUCAAGCAGCAGCAGCGUUUAUUAUGAUGGCGCCCGGGUGAGGUCCCGGGUUCGAGAGGCGGCGUCAGCACCGCCGGGGGUCACGCGGGGGUCAAGGCACUUGGCACGGUGGCGGUGACGUCGCAGGCGCCCUGGGGUCCAGCCUGGGCUAACGACGCCAAAAAAAAAAAAAAAACUUAAGAAAAAAAAAUCUAAAAAUAGAAAUUUCCAAAUUAAUUAAAAUUUUAAAAAAAUUAAUUUUAUUUAUUUUUUUUUGGGGGGGGGGUGUGAAAACAAUCCGAAAUCCACCAAGAAUUUUUGGGCAAAAAAACCCACAAAUUUUUGUUAAAAAAAAAUAAAUAAAAAUAAAACAAAAUUUUCAAAUUAACUAAAAACUUAAAAAAUUAAUUUUAUUUCUUUUUCUUUUUUUUU